rnacentral:rRNA from 1 species
CCUACGGGUGGCAGCAGUCGAGAAUUAUUCACAAUGGGGGAAACCCUGAUGCUGCGACGCCGCGUGGGGGAAUGAAGGUCUUCGGAUUGUAAACCCCUGUCAUGUGGGAGCAAAUUAAAAAGAUAGUACCACAAGAGGAAGAGACGGCUAACUCUGUGCCAGCAGCCGCGGUAAUACAGAGGUCUCAAGCGUUGUUCGGAAUCACUGGGCGUAAAGGGUGCGUAGGCUGUUUCGUAAGUCGUGUGUGAAAGGCGCGGGCUCAACCCGCGGACGGCACAUGAUACUGGGAGACUAGAGUAAUGGAGGGGGAACCGGAAUUCUCGGUGUAGCAGUGAAAUGCUUAGAUAUCGAGAGGAACACUCGUGGCGAAGGCGGGUUCCUGGACAUUAACUGACGCUGAGGCACGAAGGCCAGGGGAGCGAAAGGGAUUAGAUACCCCAGUAGUC